GAUGAACGCUGGCGGCGUGCCUAAUACAUGCAAGUCGAGCGAACAGACGAGGAGCUUGCUCCUCUGACGUUAGCGGCGGACGGGUGAGUAACACGUGGAUAACCUACCUAUAAGACUGGGAUAACUUCGGGACACCGGAGCUAAUACCGGAUAACAUGUUGAACCGCAUGGUUCAAUAGUGAAAGACGGUCUUGCUGUCACUUAUAGAUGGAUCCGCGCCGCAUUAGCUAGUUGGUAAGGUAACGGCUUACCAAGGCAACGAUGCGUAGCCGACCUGAGAGGGUGGUCGGCCACACUGGAACUGAGACACGGUCCAGACUCCUACGGGAGGCAGCAGUAGGGAAUCUUCCGCAAUGGGCGAAAGCCUGACGGAGCAACGCCGCGUGAGUGAAGAAGGUCUUCGGAUCGUAAAACUCUGUUAUUAGGGAAGAACAAAUGUGUAAGUAACUAUGCACGUCUUGACGGUACCUAAUCAGAAAGCCACGGCUAACUACGUG
rnacentral:rRNA from 1 species